CAGCACCAAUGCUGCAGUGAUCAUACCUACAACAUAAUCAUCUCAUCACACCUGUAGGCCUUGCUCCUGCUCCCAGUGAAGUCACUAAAAGAUCUGAGUGACUUCUGUAGGCUUUUGCACAUAAUACAUAUUCAGUGAACUUUGGGGAUCUUACAGGAUAAUUUGGAUGCAGUGCUGUUGUAGCCAUGGUUGUCCCAGAAUAGUAAAGAGACAAGACAGCUGGAACAGAAAGCCAUAGUGUACAAUCGAAAGACAAGCAGAAAAGGACAGAAAGAG